UCCCCGUUACCGAGGCAGUCUGAAUAGACAUAUACAACUAUUCACGAGGGUUGCGCUCGUUGAAGGACUUAACCUGACAUCUCACGACACGAGCUGACGACGGCCAUGCAUCACCUGUCACCAGGUUCCUUGCGGCACAGCCCUAUUUCUAGGGCUUUCCUGGGAUGUCAAACCUUGGUAAGGUUCUUCGCGUAGCCUCGAAUUAAACCACACGCUCCACCGCUUGUGCGGGUCCCCGUCAAUUCCUUUGAGUUUUAGCCUUGCGGCCGUACUCCCCAGGCGGGAUACUUAACGCGUUAGCUUCGCUACCGAGAGGGUCGAUACUCCCGACAGCCAGUAUCCAUCGUUUACGGCGUGGACUAC
rnacentral:misc_RNA from 1 species